GACGAACGCUGGCGGCGUGCUUAACACAUGCAAGUCGAACGGAAAGGCCCUGCUUUUGUGGGGUGCUCGAGUGGCGAACGGGUGAGUAACACGUGAGUAACCUGCCCUUGACUUUGGGAUAACUUCAGGAAACUGGGGCUAAUACCGGAUAGGAGCUCCUGCUGCAUGGUGGGGGUUGGAAAGUUUCGGCGGUUGGGGAUGGACUCGCGGCUUAUCAGCUUGUUGGUGGGGUAGUGGCUUACCAAGGCUUUGACGGGUAGCCGGCCUGAGAGGGUGACCGGCCACAUUGGGACUGAGAUACGGCCCAGACUCCUACGGGAGGCAGCAGUGGGGAAUAUGGCACAAUGGGCGGAAGCCUGAUGCAGCAACGCCGCGUGCGGGAUGCCGGCCUUCGGGUUGUAAACCGCUUUCGCCUGUGACGAAGCGUGAGUGACGGUAAUGGGUAAAGAAGCACCGGCUAACUACGUG
rnacentral:rRNA from 1 species